rnacentral:rRNA from 1 species
UACGUAGGGUGCGAGCGUUGUCCGGAAUUAUUGGGCUUAAAGGGCGCGUAGGCGGGCUGCCGCGUCCGGGGUGAAAUCCCACGGCUCAACCGUGGAACUGCCUCGGAUACGGGCGGUCUCGAGGGGGGUAGGGGCACGCGGAACUGUGGGUGGAGCGGUGAAAUGCGUUGAUAUCCACAGGAACUCCGGUGGCGAAGGCGGCGUGCUGGACCCCAUCUGACGCUGAGGCGCGAAAGCCAGGGGAGCAAACGGG